rnacentral:misc_RNA from 1 species
UUUCCGUAGGUGAACCUGCGGAAGGAUCAUUCAUAAUAAGUGUUUUUUGGCACUUUUUUAAAUCCAUAUCCACCUUGUGUGCAAUGUCAGGGUUGAUUUUUCUCUCGAGAGGAUCAACCCCAAACAUCAACUAUAUCUCAACUCUUUGUCUGAAAAAUAUUAUGAAUAAAACAAUUCAAAAUACAACUUUCAACAACGGAUCUCUUGGCUCUC